rnacentral:rRNA from 1 species
UUUAUGGAGAGUUUGAUCCUGGCUCAGGAUGAACGCUGGCGGCGUGCCUAAUACAUGCAAGUCGAGCGAACGGACGAGAAGCUUGCUUCUCUGAUGUUAGCGGCGGACGGGUGAGUAACACGUGGAUAACCUACCUAUAAGACUGGGAUAACUUCGGGAAACCGGAGCUAAUACCGGAUAAUAUUUUGAACCGCAUGGUUCAAAAGUAAAAGACGGUCUUGCUGUCACUUAUAGAUGGAUCCGCGCUGCAUUAGCUAGUUGGUAAGGUAACGGCUUACCAAGGCAACGAUGCAUAGCCGACCUGAGAGGGUGAUCGGCCACACUGGAACUGAGACACG